rnacentral:rRNA from 1 species
UACGGAGGGUGCAAGCGUUAUCCGGAUUCACUGGGUUUAAAGGGUGCGUAGGUGGGUUGGUAAGUCAGUGGUGAAAUCCCCGAGCUUAACUCAGGAACUGCCAUUGAUACUAUCAGUCUUGAAUACCGUGGAGGUCAGCGGAAUAUGUCAUGUAGCGGUGAAAUGCUUAGAUAUGACAUAGAACACCAAUUGCGAAGGCAGCUGGCUACACGAAUAUUGACACUGAGGCACGAAAGCGUGGGGAUCAAACAGG